AUCAGCCUUUUGGGUGUGAUUUUGUGGAACGUGAGGAGUUAAACGCCUUCAUGCCUGCAUAUUCGUGCACUUUGGGUGUACUUGCCCGUGUGGUUGGUUAACAUCAAUUUUGGUGGUCAUAAAAUGACUGGAGGAAUGUAGCUUCGAUCUCGUAUUGAAGUGUUAUAGCCUUCGGUAGAUGUGAUGAUCGAGAUUGAGGAUUGCAACGGAUACCCUUCGGGGCUACCUGUCUGGUCUCUGAUCGUUGCUCUGGUGCCGAAAGCUUGCUUACGGUUAUCAAAGUCGAUGGUCAAUAGGUUAGAACGGGUUAAAUUCGUUAAGGAUGUUGACGUAAUGGCUUU
rnacentral:rRNA from 1 species